rnacentral:rRNA from 1 species
UACGGAGGAUGCGAGCGUUAUCCGGAUUUAUUGGGUUUAAAGGGUGCGUAGGCGGACUGUCAAGUCAGCGGUAAAAUUGAGAGGCUCAACCUCUUCCCGCCGUUGAAACUGGUGGUCUUAAGUGGAUGAGAAGUACGCGGAAUGCGUGGUGUAGCGGUGAAAUGCAUAGAUAUCACGCAGAACUCCGAUUGCGAAGGCAGCGUACCGGCAUCCAACUGACGCUGAGGCACGAAAGCGUGGGGAUCAAACAGG